GCAAACUAUGGGAAAACAGAUACUAAUAUUUUUCCUUUGUUCUAUUCCUUUUAGGGAAGCUAUACAAAAAUUUCUAUGAUUUUUGAAUCAACACAAGAUUUAUUACACAAUUUCAAACUUUCAGCAUUUUUAAACAAAAAAGGAAAAAGAAAAACACCCUGGUCGCUCGGCCCACGCGGACUGCGCGCGCUGCCCUCUCCCC
rnacentral:lncRNA from 1 species